rnacentral:rRNA from 1 species
AUUGAACGCUGGCGGCAUGCCUUACACAUGCAAGUCGAACGGUAACAGGUCUUCGGAUGCUGACGAGUGGCGAACGGGUGAGUAAUACAUCGGAACGUGCCUAGUAGUGGGGGAUAACUACUCGAAAGAGUGGCUAAUACCGCAUGAGAUCUACGGAUGAAAGCAGGGGAUCGCAAGACCUUGUGCUACUAGAGCGGCCGAUGGCAGAUUAGGUAGUUGGUGGGAUAAAAGCUUACCAAGCCGACGAUCUGUAGCUGGUCUGAGAGGACGAUCAGCCACACUGGGACUGAGACACGGCCCAGACUCCUACGGGAGGCAGCAGUGGGGAAUUUUGGACAAUGGGCGCAAGCCUGAUCCAGCCAUGCCGCGUGCAGGAUGAAGGCCUUCGGGUUGUAAACUGCUUUUGUACGGAACGAAAAGACUCCUUCUAAUAAAGGGGGUCCAUGACGGUACCGUAAGAAUAAGCACCGGCUAACUACGUGCCAGCCGCCGCAGUAAUAC